GCCUACCAAGAAUUUUAUUGGUAUUCCAAUUAUGGGUUACCUGUAUUACAAAUUAUCAUAUGGAGGCAAGAAAGCUGUAAAAGACAGCAAGUCCUCAGGACAUCACUAGACCCGAUCUGCCAGUUACCCCUGUCUCCAUGUAGAUCCAGCGCUUACAUGUUGCUUAAGCUGCAAGAAGAUCGUCACACAUUCUACGAUAUUUAAUAAAGAUGUUUUUCAAAUGUGG